rfam:Aspergillus oryzae RIB40 DNA, chromosome 3.
ACAUGAACAACGCAAAAUCAACAUUCUUCAAAAAGCGUUCCUACGAGGAUAUCUCCUAUUGGGGUGAUGCCUAUGAAGUACGGAAAUCGUCAUAAAGAAUGGAGAGGAACUGCAAACCGCAGGGUGUCGAUCUUGGGUGCAGUGUCUUCUAGAACUCUUCGAGUUCAGUGGAAGGGAUUGCAAUGAUUGAUUCUACAC